UAUAUAAACAAAAUUAAUUUUUAAAAAAUUAAAACUUAAUCUCUCAAAAUUACAGCCAGGAUACAUCUUCCGGAAUGCUUUGUGCCCUCACUGCUGAUCCUCAGUCUGAAACACCUUUCUCCAUCAAAUUCUUCUGUCAGGAAUAUUAGCUCCUUACCAACAAUUUAGUUUAUCUUUCUCAGUUCAACUCACCAAGGCUCCUUCAGCAGCAUCAUUCAAAUGCAUAACCUCUGCCCUCUAGAAGAACAAGGGCAACAACUUCUAGUUCCCCUCCAAGCAAAUCACCAUCCUGACUAGGAGAAACUAAGACCAAGUUACUACUAGAAAUCUUCAACACUACAACAGGCUGAACAGCUGAAUAUUUGAAUUAUUUCACAAACAAGUGAGG